CAAGUCGAACGAGUUCUCGUUGAUGAUCGGUGCUUGCUCUGAGAUUCAACAUGGAACGAGUGGCGGACGGGUGAGUAACACGUGGGUAACCUGCCCUUAAGUGGGGGAUAACAUUUGGAAACAGAUGCUAAUACCGCAUAGAUCCAAGAACCGCAUGGUUCUUGGCUGAAAGAUGGCGUAAGCUAUCGCUUUUGGAUGGACCCGCGGCGUAUUAGCUAGUUGGCGAGGUAAUGGCUCACCAAGGCGAUGAUACGUAGCCGAACUGAGAGGUUGAUCGGCCACAUUGGGACUGAGACACGGCCCAAACUCCUACGGGAGGCAGCAGUAGGGAAUCUUCCACAAUGGACGCAAGUCUGAUGGAGCAACGCCGCGUGAGUGAAGAAGGCUUUCGGGUCGUAAAACUCUGUUGUUGGAGAAGAAUGGUCGGCAGAGUAACUGUUGUCGGCGUGACGGUAUCCAACCAGAAAGCCACGGCUAACUACGUGCCAGCAGCCGCGGUAAUACGUAGGUGGCAAGCGUUAUCCGGAUUUAUUGGGCGUAAAGCGAGCGCAGGCGGUUUUUUAAGUCUGAUGUGAAAGCCCUCGGCUUAACCGAGGAAGCGCAUCGGAAACUGGGAAACUUGAGUGCAGAAGAGGACAGUGGAACUCCAUGUGUAGCGGUGAAAUGCGUAGAUAUAUGGAAGAACACCAGUGGCGAAGGCGGCUGUCUGGUCUGUAACUGACGCUGAGGCUCGAAAGCAUGGGUAGCGAACAGGAUUAGAUACCCUGGUAGUCCAUGCCGUAAACGAUGAAUGCUAGGUGUUGGAGGGUUUCCGCCCUUCAG
rnacentral:rRNA from 1 species